rnacentral:tRNA from 1 species
UGCCUCCAUCGCAUAAUGGUAUUGCACCGGACUUGAGAUCCGGGGUCUUCGGGCCAUCCCCGUUCGAUUCGGGGUGGGGGCGU